CCUACGGGAGGCAGCAGUGAGGAAUAUUGGGCAAUGGAGGCAACUCUGACCCAGCCAUGCCGCGUGAGUGAAGAAGGUUUUCGGAUUGUAAACCUCUGUCCUCUGUGAAGAUAAUGACGGUAGCAGAGGAGGAAGCUCCGGCUAACUACGUGCCAGCAGCCGCGGUAAUACGUAGGGAGCGAGCGUUGUCCGGAUUUACUGGGUGUAAAGGGUGCGUAGGCGGCCCUGCAAGUCAGAAGUGAAAUCCAUGGGCUUAACCCGUGAACUGCGUUUGAAACUGCAGGACUUGAGUGGAGUAGAGGUAGGCGGAAUUCCCGGUGUAGCGGUGAAAUGCGUAGAGAUCGGGAGGAACACCAGUGGCGAAGGCGGCCUACUGGGCUUUAACUGACGCUGAAGCACGAAAGCGUGGGUAGCAAACAGGAUUAGAUACCCUGGUAGUC
rnacentral:rRNA from 1 species